UAUAGAGGAUUGUCUAGAGAUACAUAUUCAGACGUCAAAGACGACAACGGUAUUCGCUUUCAACAAGUUGAUCUGACCUUAUACUCGCACGAUCCUGUAACUUUCGCCUCAAGUCUUGAAUCAAGAUGAAGUCCACACGAUUCGCCAUUCCUCUCUUCAUGGUACUCAUUUUCAUUGUUUACCAAGCUUCUUCAUCUCAUGGUUUCGUAUAUACUGUUCCUAAAGAUGUGGAUGAGGAAAUAGCAUCUGCUGAAAUGCGCGAGGACGGGGACAUGAAACUUGAAGAGUCAUUUGUGAGACCGUAUUGUCCUCCCGACCUGUGGUGUU